GGAGGGGGCGAGCGUUAUUCGGAAUUAUUGGGCGUAAAGGGCGCGUAGGCGGCCCGAUAAGUCAAAGGUGAAAUCCCUCGGCUCAACUGAGGAACUGCCUUUGAAACUGUCGGGCUUGAGGCCGGGAGGGGGUAGCGGAAUUCCCAGUGUAGCGGUGAAAUGCGUAGAUAUUGGGAGGAACACCAGUGGCGAAGGCGGUUACCUGGACCGGUUCUGACGCUGAUGCGCGAAAGCGUGGGUAGCAAACAGGAUUAGAUACCCUGGUAGUCCACGCUGUAAACGAUGGGUGCUCGGUGUCGCGGGUAUCGACCCCUGCGGUGCCUUAGCUAACGCGUUAAGCACCCCGCCUGGGGAGUACGGUCGCAAGGCUG
rnacentral:rRNA from 1 species